GGUUGCUUGGCAGAGUGGUCAAAUGCGGACGGCCGUAACCCGUCUCCCGCUGGGUACUCAGGUUCGAAUCCUGAAGCAACCA
rnacentral:tRNA from 1 species